UUAGGUUAACAGAUUUUUUUAAAUCAUUGCAUCCUCAGAGUUGAAGGAGUUAGAAUCUCUAGCCCCACCUUACACUUGAAAGGUAGUCAAGCACUGGAGCGAGUUUUAUAGCAAGUCUGUGGGAUGCCGAUCUUUGGAGAUACACAAAACCUUGACUGAGCACGAUCCUGAGCAACCUUGCUGUAGCUGACCCUGUUUGAGCAGGACAGUGGUCUAGGCCAUUUUCCAACCCCAACCACAUUGUGAUUCUGAAGACUGAUAGAAAUGUACUGUUACUGUUUAACUAUUGCCACUGCUGGACUCAUGAAUUUUUAAGAAGUUAAACAGAAGGGCACGAAUAAUACCAAGUCAAAACUUGGUUUGUACAUCAGAGUAUUCACAGAUAACAUUCCCCCUAUUUGCUCUGUCCUCAUCCAGCUUCUCUCCCCACUGCAUUGCUAUUAUCAUUUCAAAGGAGAAAAGAACAGAGAGAAUUUACAAUAUGGAUUUCUUUUUCACUUUCUCUGUAAUAAAAUGCAAACAACUUUAUUUUCUACAAGGCUAUCGUUGCUUUGCUUUUAAUCAAACAAACAUCAUACCCAUUAAUUAUUGUUUUAUUUAAUUAGGAAUUGAAUGAUUGAGAAAUAGUUCUUGGUGGUUCACAAAGAUGCCUCUUGAGCUGCCCAACAAAGUUAUAAAUAAAGAAGGAUGUGAGAAAGUGGUACUUCAAAAGUUCCAUGUUAAUGUUAAUAUGAAAGAACUCUCCAUGAGUUAUUUGCAUUAACUAAAGAUGACCUGAGAUCAAAGUCAGAGCCCAUUGGAGUUUGAGCUUCCAAGGUAGCCUAGUUCUGAGAUGUCUACUGAAAUCUUCCAGAAAUGAAAUAUAAACUACUAUAAUGUGCUAUCAAAACUGUCAAGCUGGUUCAGCAGAAUGAGUGAUAUGUUUAAAUUUGAUUGUUAUUCAAAAGCUCCAUGAAAGUAGAAUACAUGCAUCCAAAUGGCCAGAAGCGACUUCCGUGUCCAGUUAUCAAAAACAAGCUUAACAAAAACUGUCAAGUUCUGAAUUGUGUUUUUUUAACACACCGUAAUUUGAUAAAAUGAUUACCCUUAAGGAGGACUUUGUGUGUAGAUUAAUAAACAUUUUUCCUACUUAGCUGUACAAAGCAGUGAUUAAAAUAAAAAGUAAGUAAUUUCAGUUUUAGCUCUCUUGUGAAAAAUUUAAAUGUUACAUUUGUCAACAAUUCUUCAACAAUAUUGUAAAGUGUGCUGGCACAAAAGGUGAGGGUUUAACAUUAAGCAAAGCUUGAUAGACUGUAAGUACUCACAAAGCUGCUCUUGUUGAAAAUGACUGAAUAUGUAAAAUUAAUUAGUAUAGUUCUGAUCAGUGAUUCUCUCUCAGUAAUAGUUUAACUGGAAUUAAUAAUCAGCGGCUUUUUGUAUCUUUUAAUAUAUGCUUCUGACUUCGUACAUUAAAAAUACAACUGAAAGUUUUGUUAGGGAACCUUGCUGCAAGCUCUCAUCUCUUUAAAAUAAAGGCAAGACAAGCUUAUGGAGAAGAAAUGUAAUUAAAGUCGUGGAAGAAAUUGAAGGGGGUGGGUGAAAUGAGGACAGCAAAGAUUUUUCUCUCCCCUUUAAAAUCCAAAGCACGGGGGAGAUGGAAACCAGAGAGCAAUGCAAACCACUUCUUAGCUCAUAGCAAGUUACCUCUAAAGUGCUCAGCUAAAACUUCUGUUUUCUAGGCCUUUUGGAAAUCCACUGAGACUAGUUCUCUGUGUUCUCCAGUUUUAGCACAGAAUAGAUUAAAUACAGAGAUAUGAAGCUAAGAAAACAUUUUAAAUGUUACUUUCUGUAUUUGAUGUAGGUACUGUGGUCCUUUAUUUCCAGGUCCAGUAAUGAGUUUCACAGAA